rnacentral:rRNA from 1 species
GACGAACGCUGGCGGCGUGCCUAAUACAUGCAAGUAGAACGCUGAAGAGAGGAGCUUGCUCUUCUUGGAUGAGUUGCGAACGGGUGAGUAACGCGUAGGUAACCUGCCUUGUAGCGGGGGAUAACUAUUGGAAACGAUAGCUAAUACCGCAUAACAAUGGAUGACACAUGUCAUUUAUUUGAAAGGGGCAAUUGCUCCACUACAAGAUGGACCUGCAUUGUAUUAGCUAGUAGGUGAGGUAACGGCUCACCUAGGCGACGAUACAUAGCCGACCUGAGAGGGUGAUCGGCCACACUGGGACUGAGACACGGCCCAGACUACUACGGGAGGCAGCAGUAGGGAAUCUUCGGCAAUGGGGGCAACCCUGACCGAGCAACGCCGCGUGAGUGAAGAAGGUUUUCGGAUCGUAAAGCUCUGUUGUAAGUCAAGAACGAGUGUGAGAGUGGAAAGUUCACACUGUGACGGUAGCUUACCAGAAAGGGACGGCUAACUACGUG